rnacentral:rRNA from 1 species
GACGAACGCUGGCGGCGUGCUUAACACAUGCAAGUCGAACGGAAAGGCCCUGCUUUUGUGGGGUGCUCGAGUGGCGAACGGGUGAGUAACACGUGAGUAACCUGCCCCUGACUUUGGGAUAACUUCAGGAAACUGGGGCUAAUACCGGAUAGGAGCUCCUGCUGCAUGGUGGGGGUUGGAAAGUUUCGGCGGUUGGGGCUGGACUCGCGGCUUAUCAGCUUGUUGGUGGGGUAGUGGCUUACCAAGGCUUUGACGGGUAGCCGGCCUGAGAGGGUGACCGGCCACAUUGGGACUGAGAUACGGCCCAGACUCCUACGGGAGGCAGCAGUGGGGAAUAUUGCACAAUGGGCGGAAGCCAGAUGCAGCAACGCCGCGUGCGGGAUGACGGCCUUCGGGUUGUAAACCGCUUUCGCCUGUGACGAAGCGUGAGUGACGGUAAUGGGUAAAGAAGCACCGGCUAACUACGUG